rnacentral:rRNA from 1 species
AGUGAACGCUGGCGGUAGGCCUAACACAUGCAAGUCGAACGGCAGCACAGUAAGAGCUUGCUCUUACGGGUGGCGAGUGGCGGAUGGGUGAGGAAUAUAUCGGAAUCUACUUUUUCGUGGGGGAUAACGCAGGGAAACUUACGCUAAUACCGCAUACGACCUACGGGUGAAAGCAUGGGAUCUUCGGACCUCGCGCGAUCGUAUGACCCGAUGUCGGACUAGCUAGUUGGCGGGGUAAAGGCCCACCAAGGCGACGAUCCGUAGCUGGUCUGAGAGGAUGAUCAGCCACACUGGAACUGAGACACGGUCCAGACUCCUACGGGAGGCAGCAGUGGGGAAUAUUGGACAAUGGGCGCAAGCCUGAUCCAGCCAUACCGCGUGUGUGAAGAAGGCCUUCGGGUUGUAAAGCCCUUUUGUUGGGAAAGAAAAGCAGCAGGUUAAUACCCCGCUGUUCUGACGGUACCCAAAGAAUAAGCACCGGCUAACUUCGUG